GGGUGCGAUCAUACCAGCGUUAAUGCACCGGAUCCCCUCAGAACUCCGCAGUUAAGCGCGCUUGGGCUAGAGUAGUACUGGGAUGGGUGACCUCCCGAGAGGUCCUGGUGUUGCACCCU
rnacentral:rRNA from 1 species